rnacentral:rRNA from 1 species
CCUACGGGAUGCAGCAGUGGGGAAUAUUGGGCAAUGGGCGCAAGCCUGACCCAGCAACGCCGCGUGAAGGAAGAAGGCUUUCGGGUUGUAAACUUCUUUUCUGAGGGACGAAGAAGGUGACGGUACCUCAGGAAUAAGCCACUGCUAACUACGUGCCAGCAGCCGCGGUACUACGUAGGUGGCAAGCGUUAUCCGGAAUUGUUUGGUGUAAAGGGCGUGUAGGCGGGAAAGCAAGUCAGAUGUGAAAACUCAGGGCUCAACCCUGAGACUGCAUUUGAAACUGUUUUUCUUGAGUGCUGGAGAGGCAAGCGGAAUUCCGGGUGUAGCGGUGAAAUGCGUAGAGAUGCGGAGGAACACCAGUGGCGAAGGCGAAUUGCUGGACAGUAACUGACGCUGAGGCGCGAAAGCGUGGGGAGCAAACAGGAUUAGAUACCCCAGUAGUC